rnacentral:rRNA from 1 species
AGCAGAAUGAGAGGUUCCGCUUGCUCCAAAGACCUCGUCAACCAUUCUGCUCUUCUGGCUACUGUUCUUCCCACAACUGUGGAGCCAGCCCCCUUCCACCCCUCCCACACCCCACACCCCACACCCGGCGGCGCGCGCGGCGAUGGUGCCCCUCGCUCGCCGUGGACUGCCGGCGGCGGCGACGAUGUAAGGCAGCCAACCAAGUACUGGAGUACGAUUUAUUCUCUCAAAUAUUCAUUACGGCAAUUACUACCACCCAAUUGAUUUCCCCCAAUUGUCACCCUUCAUUGUUUCUGACAAGUAUCUGGAAUCAGUCUACAGUGUAGUUGUUGAUAAUGCUUGUUCAUGGUGACAUACUUAGCAUAUGCAGAUAUGCUCUUUUACCGAAAAAACCGCCACAGAGCACCCAUACAAGGACUAGUUCACAACACACACGCACCCAUGUCUCACAAAAGGAAAUACAAUAGGUUCUGCUGAGGGCACACCUCAACAAGCCCAAACAAAAGAGAAAAGAGAGGCCGGAGAACGAGUCCGGCCCCUAAUCCGGCUCCGGAGGCGGCGGAGGGAGCGGCGGCGACAAACGUACAACCAUCGAGCUGAGGUUGGCGAUGAAGGCAGAGAUGGCGUCCCGGUCUUGGGGGCGGCGCCUUGGUGGUCGAACCUGCAAAAUCGCAUCCAAAGAUCAUGAAUACAGCGUGGCGCAACGGAGCGCACCAUUCUGUCUAGUUCAUUUUCUUUAUCAUAUGGUUACUGCUUUCAGUUUUUGCUGUUGUAACUUGCUACCUUACUCUGUUCUAAGUCUGAUUUUGGAUCUAUGCAUGCUACAUCCCCUGUCUUCUUGAGCAACGAUAAUACAUUGAUGCAACGAGGAGACACAUUGCCGGCUCUCACUUGUGCCCGCCACCAUCGAUGUUUGUUCUAGAAGGGAUGAUGCACCAAGCUGGAUGGGGAGCAGUGGGUUAGCUUGGACCAAUGACAGUAGUGGUGAGGCAUUCAUAUGGAAGUUUAUCUCAUUACACUGGACGAGAGUCAACGACUGUUAACAGGCUUCUUGAUGUCGCCCGUUCCGAAGAAGCAAAGCCAAACAAAUUCCUGCCUCCCCUUGGGCAUAUAAGACGCGCAUGCGUUCUUGUCGAGAGAGGAUUGCGUAUAGAUAUUUAUAGAUGUAGAAUAGUAAGAAAGAGUCGCAAAAAAGCGAGGAAAGUUAUGAGGUGGAAACAUUUAAGAACCUAGAUGCAUAUAAUUAAUUGAAGGUACUGCUCCGUCAAAACUUUACGAGAGACUUUGCGCAUGAUAGGUAGGCUCCAUCAACAGACCAG